rnacentral:lncRNA from 1 species
CUAGACAUGCCACGAAAAAGUCAAUAUUCGGCCUAGACAUGUUGUAGCCUUGGUCUUUUGCAAAGGCUAAUAGCUGCAUAUGCACACGCGUUAAUAUGCUAACUUGCACCUUGAACUAUUUGCCUGCUUUGUUCUUUUUUUUUUAUUAGUAAACAAUUAUGUACCUUGGGAGCAGCCUCUCCAUAAAUGGGGGUAAGGCUAGCCGACAUUCACCUCUCUCAGACCCUGCGUAAAGCGGGAGCCUUGUGCACUGGGUACGACCUUUUUGUUAAAAGUAAACAAUUAUGUACCGUAUCGUGGGUUCUAAAAAUAUCAAUCUUAUGCUUUGGGAUUUUUGACUUUGAAAAAUGAAAUUGGCCUCACGAUACGGGUUGCAGACAAUGCAUGUGGUUUCGGUUGAGCCAAGAGGUUAAUUCGCAUUGUUGGUGGAGAAAGAACACACAAUAGACAAUGAGGAUAUUCAACUGUAAUAAAAAUUGCAAAGUUGAAAUAGGAAAAAGAAUGCACCCAGAAUACUAUAUUUGAGGUUAAUCAAAAGGAGCUACUAAGAUUGGUG